AUACGGAGGAUGCGAGCGUUAUCCGGAUUUAUUGGGUUUAAAGGGAGCGUAGGUGGGAUAUUAAGUCAGCUGUGAAAGUUUGGGGCUCAACCUUAACAUUGCAGUUGAUACUGGUUUCCUUGAGUACGGUACAGGUGGGCGGAAUUCGUGGUGUAGCGGUGAAAUGCUUAGAUAUCACGAAGAACUCCGAUCGCGAAGGCAGCUCACCGGGCCGGAACUGACACUGAUGCUCGAAAGUGCGGGUAUCAAACAGGAUUAGAUACCCUGGUAGUCCGCACAGUAAACGAUGAAUACUCGCUGUUUGCGAUACACGGUAAGCGGCCAAGCGAAAGCGUUAAGUAUUCCACCUGGGGAGUACGCCGGCAACGGUGAAACUCAAAGGAAUUGACGGGG
rnacentral:rRNA from 1 species